rnacentral:rRNA from 1 species
UGCGCCGGAGAAAACUCAUUAAGUGUUCCGCCUGGGGAGUACGGCCGCAAGGCUGAAACUCAAAGGAAUUGACGGGGGCCCGCACAAGCGGUGGAGCAUGUGGUUUAAUUCGACGCAACGCGAAGAACCUUACCGGGGUUUGAACUGUCGGUGAAAUCCGCAGAGAUGUGGAGUUCCUUCGGGACACCGACAGAGGUGCUGCAUGGCUGUCGUCAGCUCGUGUCGUGAGAUGUUGGGUUAAGUCCCGCAACGAGCGCAACCCUUGUCUGUAGUUGCCAUCAGGUUAAGCUGGGCACUCUACGGAGACUGUCGGCGAAAAGCCGGAGGAAGGUGGGGAUGACGUCAAGUCCUCAUGGCCUUUAUGUCCCGGGCUACACACGUGCUACAAUGGGCGGAACAAAGGGCAGCGAACCUGCGAAGGUCUGCGAAUCCCAGAAAUCCGCUCUCAGUUCGGAUUGCAGUCUGCAACUCGACUGCAUGAAGGUGGAAUCGCUAGUAAUCGCGGAUCAGAACGCCGCGGUGAAUACGUUCCCGGGCCUUGUACACACCGCCCGUCACAUCACGAAAGUGGGUUGUACUAGAAGUCGCCGGGCUAACCCUUCGGGGAGGCAGGCGCCGACGGUAUGAUUCAUGAUUGGGGUG